UCAUCUUCGGGGGUAGAGCACUGUUUCGGCUAGGGGGUCAUCCCGACUUACCAACCCGAUGCAAACUACGAAUACCGAAGAAUGUUAUCACGGGAGACACACGGCGGGUGCUAACGUCCGUCGUGAAGAGGGAAACAACCCAGACCGCCAGCUAAGGUCCCAAAGUCAUGGUUAAGUGGGAAACGAUGUGGGAAGGCACAGACAGCCAGGAUGUUGGCUUAGAAGCAGCCAUCAUUUAAAGAAAGCGUAAUAGCUCACUGGUCGAGUCGGCCUGCGCGGAAGAUGUAACGGGGCUAAACCAUGCACCGAAGCUGCGGCAGCGACACUAUGUGUUGUUGGGUAGGGGAGCGUUCUGUAAGCCUGCGAAGGUGACCUGUGAGGGUUGCUGGAGGUAUCAGAAGUGCGAAUGCUGACAUAAGUAACGAUAAAGCGGGUGAAAAGCCCGCUCGCCGGAAGACCAAGGGUUCCUGUCCAACGUUAAUCGGGGCAGGGUGAGUCGACCCCUAAGGCGAGGCCGAAAGGCGUAGUCGAUGGGAAACAGGUUAAUAUUCCUGUACUUGGUGUUACUGCGAAGGGGGGACGGAGAAGGCUAUGUUAGCCGGGCGACGGUUGUCCCGGUUUAAGCAUGUAGGCUGGUUGUCCAGGCAAAUCCGGAUAAUCAAGGCUGAGGUGUGAUGACGAGGCACUACGGUGCUGAAGUAACAAAUGCCCUGCUUCCAGGAAAAGCCUCUAAGCAUCAGGUAACAUCAAAUCGUACCCCAAACCGACACAGGUGGUCAGGUAGAGAAUACCAAGGCGCUUGAGAGAACUCGGGUGAAGGAACUAGGCAAAAUGGUGCCGUAACUUCGGGAGAAGGCACGCUGGUGUGUAGGUGAAG
rnacentral:rRNA from 2 species